UCCAAUAUAAAGUCGCUUUAAAAUAAUGCGCAUUAAAAAGUUGAUGCGACACAAGUGAUGGAAAAGCGGUUAAGUCGCUUCAACGCCAGCUUUGUCGAUCUCAUUUAUAUCGCUCUAAAAAGGUGGAUUGGCUAGAGAUAAGUCGACAUAAAAUUGAUGGAAAAGCGUUAAAGCGACGUAGGAAGUUCGUACAUGCGCAGUGCUGUUAUUAUAUGCGCGAGAAUUUGAAAGCUAAGUUUGGUCGAGAAAAGGCAGGCGUCAAGGAAUGGGGCUGGGGGAAAACGCUGUUUUGAUUUUUUUCGAAGAAAUGGACCAGCUAGCUACUGGGUGCCAGGCCGGUCGUGGUUGCGAGGUCCUCUGCUGUUGACAGCACCGUUCCCCCUGAUGACCAAUCUGGUGUGGAAGACGAGAAAGAGGAUGAAGGGGAUGAUGAGGAAGAAGAGGGUGCUGAAGACUACAGUGGACAAGUGACCAUGGAGUAUUCAGAGCCCCCAGGCCCCACCCCAGCUGCAGCAGGAGGUAGUCACCUGUUUCGCAGGCCACUGAAGAAAAAGUCUGUACUAGCUGCAUAGAGUCAGCAGCUGUCGGACUUACUGAAAAGGCAAGAGGCAGGAGGAGGAAGAUGGAGAGAUGCUAACUUCUCUGAGAACGUCCGUCAAGCGCCAGUUUGGAGCAUCAGAAUAACCCGCCCAUUGCCUCUUCAAGCAGCCAAGUGGGCUUACCAUUUAAUGUUAUUUAAUAUUUAAUACUAAUUAUGAAUAUUUAUUAAAUGCAUUUUUGUGAA